rnacentral:rRNA from 1 species
CCUACGGGUGGCAGCAGUGGGGAAUAUUGGACAAUGGGCGAAAGCCUGAUCCAGCAAUGCCGCGUGAGUGAUGAAGGCCUUAGGGUUGUAAAGCUCUUUUACCCGGGAAGAUAAUGACUGUACCGGGAGAAUAAGCCCCGGCUAACUCCGUGCCAGCAGCCGCGGUAAUACGGAGGGGGCUAGCGUUGUUCGGAAUUACUGGGCGUAAAGCGUACGUAGGCGGCUUGGUAAGUUAGAGGUGAAAGCCUGGGGCUCAACCCCAGAAUUGCCUUUAAGACUGCCUCGCUUGAACGUCGGAGAGGUGAGUGGAAUUCCGAGUGUAGAGGUGAAAUUCGUAGAUAUUCGGAAGAACACCAGUGGCGAAGGCGGCUCACUGGACGACUGUUGACGCUGAGGUACGAAAGCGUGGGGAGCAAACAGGCUUAGAUACCCCAGUAGUC